AUCUCUUCGCUUAUGAUACUCCUUCAAAUCCAUUCUUGCUUUCACAUUAUCUUUUAUUUUGCCUUUAAUAUCCAUGAUUGUAUUAAACACAUUAUCAAACACAUUUUUUCUAUGUGCAUCACAUCUAGAUUAUGUCUGAUCAAAUUAGUUUUCCAAUAUGGUAAGUCCUAAAAUAUGCUUUACUUUAUCCAAUUAUGUAUAACCCUAUAUCCAUCACAUCUACAUGAAUCCUCCUUAGUUAUCUUUGGAAG
rnacentral:lncRNA from 1 species